UACGAAGGGUGCAAACGUUGCUCGGAAUCAUUAGGCGUAAAGCGCACGUAGGCGGCUUCAAAAGUCGGAUGUGAAAUCCCUCAGCUCAACCAAGGACGUGCAUCCGAAACUGCGGAGCUUGAGUAUGGAAGAGGGUCGCGGAAUCCCCGGUGUAGAGGUGAAAUUCGUAGAUAUCGGGGGGAACACCAGUGGCGAAGGCGGCGACCUGGGCCAAUACUGACGCUGAGGUGCGAAAGCGUGGAGAGCAAACAGG
rnacentral:rRNA from 1 species